rnacentral:pre_miRNA from 1 species
AAUAUUUCUUGCUCAAAUGAGUAUUCCAGCCGCGACAGUUGCGUAACUGGCCGGCCGGCCGGUGCAUGCUAGCUGCUUCUGCUGAUCAAUCUGAGAUACUCAUUUGAGCAAGCA